rnacentral:snoRNA from 1 species
CCAAUGUGACAUCUAGUGGGUUGGCCCUCACUGGCUCUGUCUGAAUGGCUUUUGGAGCUGAGUGUCCUUGAGACACAUCACUCAUGAUGUCUGUUCCUUGCCAUGUCGUUGGAGAUCAAAACUGCCCACAGUAUCUCUUUUUUAGGGAACUGGUUUGGUGUAGUACAUUGUAUAUUCCUUGUGCUUCCCAGAGUCACUUUGUGACCUUGACUGGGGCGAUAAACCAUACAAUGGACAUUU